AAUAUUGGUCAAUGGGCGCAAGCCUGAACCAGCCACGUCGCGUGAAGGAAGACGGCCNNNCGGGUNGUAAACUUCUUUUGUAANGGCNUAAAGUGUAGUACGUGUACUAUUUUGCAUGUACCUUACGAAUAAGGAUCGGCUAACUCCGUGCCAGCAGCCGCGGUAAUACGGAGGAUCCGAGCGUUAUCCGGAUUUAUUGGGUUUAAAGGAUGCGCAGGCGGGAGAUUAAGUCGGCGGUGAAAUUUUGCAGCUCAACUGUAAAAGUGCCUUCGAAACUGGUUUCCUUGAGUGUGGAUGAAGUAGGCGGAAUUUGUGGUGUAGCGGUGAAAUGCAUAGAUAUCACGAGGAACUCCGAUUGCGCAGGCAGCCCCCUGGGAUAAUACUGACGCUCAGACACGAAAGCGUGGGGAGCAAACAGG
rnacentral:rRNA from 1 species